rnacentral:rRNA from 1 species
UACGUAGGGGGCGAGCGUUGUCCGGAAUUACUGGGCGUAAAGGGUGAGUAGGCGGUUUGUUAAGUUGGAUGUGAAAUACCCGGGCUUAACCCGGGGGGUGCAUUCAAAACUGGCAGACUAGAGUAUCGGAGAGGAAAGCGGAAUUCCGGGUGUAGCGGUGAAAUGCGUAGAUAUCCGGAGGAACACCGGUGGCGAAGGCGGCUUUCUGGACGACAACUGACGCUGAGGCACGAAAGCGUGGGGAGCAAAC